rnacentral:rRNA from 1 species
GACGAACGCUGGCGGCGUGCCUAAUACAUGCAAGUUGAGCGCUGAAGGUUGGUACUUGUACCAACUGGAUGAGCAGCGAACGGGUGAGUAACGCGUGGGGAAUCUGCCUUUGAGCGGGGGACAACAUUUGGAAACGAAUGCUAAUACCGCAUAAAAACUUUAAACACAAGUUUUAAGUUUGAAAGAUGCAAUUGCAUCACUCAAAGAUGAUCCCGCGUUGUAUUAGCUAGUUGGUGAGGUAAAGGCUCACCAAGGCGAUGAUACAUAGCCGACCUGAGAGAGUGAUCGGCCACAUUGGGACUGAGACACGGCCCAAACUCCUACGGGAGGCAGCAGUAGGGAAUCUUCGGCAAUGGACGAAAGUCUGACCGAGCAACGCCGCGUGAGUGAAGAAGGUUUUCGGAUCGUAAAACUCUGUUGGUAGAGAAGAACGUUGGUGAGAGUGGAAAGCUCAUCAAGUGACGGUAACUACCCAGAAAGGGACGGCUAACUACGUG